GAGGUAACUCUUGUAAAACCCUCCCCAUUACAUCUGGCAUGUAAUAUAGGCUAAUAAGCAGCCCUUCUGAGUGAUCUAGGGAUGUACAGAGAAUGCCAUUCAAGCUGUGUGCACUAGGGGGCACUGUGAGGUUUAGUCUGAGGCCCCUAAUGAGUCCAAGUCCCCUGGUAAUGCUCAAGUGCAAAGGACAUGACUGCUGCUUCCUUUGAGGCUCUGUUUGGUAAAUCUGAAAACACAAACACACUCGGCCCUUCUUCUGAUCUUGAGAAAUUGCUCAGAGAAGGCCCUCAGGCUGAGGGCUCAGACAAGAACGAGGACAAAUAUUUCAGGGAAUGGAGAACAGAUUUGCAUCCACUGCUCACCAGAGCCACCUAACAAGACACAAGAAUAAAGGAAGUAGAUUUGCAUGAAGAGCCUCCCCUUCCUAUGAUAAGAGAGGCCUGGAGGUUCCUCCUUAGCUGUGGGCUCAGAGGCAGAGCUCUGGGGUGUCUCCACCAUGGCCUGGACCCCUCCCCUGCUCACCCUCCUCACUCUCUGCACAGGUUCUGUGGUUUCUUCUGAGCUGACUCAGGACCCUGCAGUGUCUGUGGCCUUGGGACAGCCAGCCAGGAUCACCUGCCAGGGAGAGAGCCUCAGAAGCUAUUAUCCAAGCUGGUACCAGCAGAAGCCGGGCCAGGCCCCUGUGCUGGUCAUCUAUGGUAACAACAACCGGCCUUCAGGGAUCCCAGACCGAUUCUCUGGCUCCAGCUCAGAAAACACAGCUUCCUUGACCAUCACUGGGGCUCAGGUGGAAGAUGAGGCUGACUAUUACUGUAACUCCUGGGACAGCAGUGGUACUUAUCCCACAGUGACACAGACAGAUGGGGAAGUGAGAGAGAAACCCCUUCCCUUGCUGUGUCACCCUAUCUCUCCAGCCCCAGCAGGACUGUGAACAAAGCCAUAAGCAGGGCUGGUCCAGUUCACCUGGAUCUGAGACCUUCAGGCUUCCCUCCUCUCCAGCCCUCAGGCAGGCUCUGCAGAAGGUGGGUUGGGAUAGGAUUUGAGGCUGGAAGGACCAAGGUGUUCUGCUGUAGUCUGGACUGAGUGUGUCUUGGCUCAAGAUGACCUGAGUGGAAGGACAGUAAGAGGGAGACAGGCAGCCAUGGAGUGUCCAUGGUCUCUGGAGUUCCUCUUGUGUGGUGACUGGAUCUAAUGCAAUGCCUGUCCUCUGUGGCCCAAAUACCUUGGAUUAGUUCUCUGAACGACUCAUGUUUAGCUGAGACCCUCAAGCCCCAGCUCCAUGCAUCCUGAUGUUCUGAACGGGAAAGUCUUUCCUAGUGAGCACUGUGGUAUCACGUGGCAUCCCUGACUUCCCACAGCCAUUUCCCACUGAAAAAUGCCAUUGAGUGCAAAUAACAGCUUCCUGCAAAAGUGUGCCUCCUUCAGAAUGUGGUUCUAGAGCAAUGACUGCCUGAGGCCUUAAUCCCAAAUCCAUGCUUUAAUUUAGGAUGACCUUAAAACACCUCCUAGCUGAAUGGUCAAUUGUAACAUAUUCCCAGGCACGCCUCCCACAUUUCUCUCCUGUGAGUAUAUCCUGAAACCCUACUGUAUGUAACCCUCACUCUCAGAGUAGGAUUCUAUGGAAAUGAAAAAUUGUAAAAAAAAAUGAAAACAUCCUAGUGGGAAGAGUAUCAAAGAGGAGGCAGUUGCACACGAAGAGAACUCUGAAGUCUGCAAAUAUUUAUGCACUAAUGAGCACUUGUGUGUAAAGAAACUCCCUCUGAAAGAGAAAAGAACCACCUAAAGACACUUGAGGGAAUACCCCACAGAGAACACACACACACUCACACACACACACACACUACAGUCACAGAAGAAGGGCCUGAGUUA